GACAACUGUUUGCCUUAACAUAUUUAUAAGGGAAUGUUGCAGCUUGUUCUGCAGUCCCCAUGUGGCUGAAAACCAAUGAAUGCCGCUUUGAGUACCACUAUAAAGGGCUUGUACUUUAAUUGCUUAUUUCCACCUUAUUAUUAGCUUAUUAUCUAGCUAUAUGUAUUAGUAUGUAUGCAUUAGUUGCAGACUCAAGUCAUGAAUCUGACUUUAGACUUGACAAAAAUUUGCACCUUUACCUUGACUUUAACACCAAUAACUUGUGACCUCCUGUUGACUUCAGCUUGUUGAUAUCUUCCCCAAACCAAAGAUUAAAAAAAAGGCAUGCAGCAGAUUCGUUCAUGCAAAACAAAGGCGGGUUUAGCCGAAUGAGCAACCUGACCGGUUUUUGUAGGAUUGGGGGCGGGGACAAAGGGAGCCCAACACGCUCUGCCGCCAUGGACAUAACCGUUGGGAAAUUGUGGCGAACUGAAGUCUGUGGCAGAUUUCCAAAGGUCAGCAAAGUUGCAGAGACAGGUGAGAGGUUGUCGUCAUCAUCCAUUGGAGAAGCGCUCUCGUCGCAGUGGAGUGAGAUUUCACACAGCUGAAAAUGGUCCCACCAUUGCCAGUGAUGAACAGGAAGGAGUGCCCGGCAGUGCACGCAGGGUGGUGGCUGUAUCAUGCCGCUUUCUGUGUGGUCCCAUCCGAGGCAUUCAAAGCAGAAAAGAUGCCUGGCAGCGGCAGCGAUGACACACGACAGGCAGGAACGAGCUUGUAGCAGCGACUUAAUCCGCAGAGAGGUAUUUUGUCAUGGUCUCCAUUACUCUCUGGACCUCCUCAGCUGUGACAAAUGCUGGAUCUCACGCAUCAGUCUCUGGUACUCCAGGUCUACUCAACCAGUGAGCAAAAAUUCAACCCAAAAGUAGCCCAAGUCCGCAGGAAAACGGAGGAUCUGGCAACUUUGGAGCUGAGGAUGCACUGCGCCUGCUCAUUGAGUAGUUUGAAAAUCAACAGAAACAAGAAGACAGAAAUGGAGCAGCAUUAACGCUAUUGGAGUUCCGACGAGGACUGUCAAUAGCUGAUUACAUCCUGGAGUUGGCAUCAGCAUCAGCAUGAGCCUGCUGCAGCCUCAGUGGAAACAGGAGAAAAGUGCAUCAGAUGGAAUUAAAAGAGUUAAGAGUUCAAACUGAUAGAUUAUC